CCUACGGGCGGCAGCAGUGGGGAAUAUUGGACAAUGGGGGGAACCCUGAUCCAGCCAUGCCGCGUGUGUGAAGAAGGCCCUCGGGUUGUAAAGCACUUUCAGUGAGGAAGAACGCCUGGUGGUUAAUACCCAUCAGGAAAGACAUCACUCACAGAAGAAGCACCGGCUAACUCCGUGCCAGCAGCCGCGGUAAUACGGAGGGUGCGAGCGUUAAUCGGAAUUACUGGGCGUAAAGCGCGCGUAGGUGGCUUGAUAAGCCGGUUGUGAAAGCCCCGGACUCAACCUGGGAACGGCAUCCGGAACUGUCAAGCUAGAGUGCAGGAGAGGAAGGUAGAAUUCCCGGUGUAGCGGUGAAAUGCGUAGAGAUCGGGAGGAAUACCAGUGGCGAAGGCGGCCUUCUGGACUGACACUGACACUGAGGUGCGAAAGCGUGGGUAGCAAACAGGAUUAGAUACCCGAGUAGUC
rnacentral:rRNA from 1 species